ACUGCAUCACAGAUCAUAUUCAGACACAACAGUUUAGUGGCCACUGACCGCUGAGUCCUGUGAUGACUCCUGCUGCUUCUUGAGCUCAGCCAGCUGUCUCUCCAUGUGAGAUCUCCUCCUUCAGAGCAUCAAGCUCUCUCUGCAGAAAAGCAAAUGCAGAAAAAUAAAAUGGUCAUGAAUACUGCAGAUCUCUGGGAGUAAAAGAGCAAAGAGCUCUUUAUGGGCCUCCGUCUGUCUCGCUGCAUGCAGAACAGCUGCUCUGUGACCCUCCAUCUUGUUUCGGUAGGUGUUGAACCCUGCCUGUGCCAUGCGGGCGCUCUCCUCCUCCUCGCAGAUAUGAUUCUGGAGUUCAGUAUUGU